rnacentral:rRNA from 1 species
CCUACGGGUGGCAGCAGUGGGGGAUAUUGCACAAUGGGGGAAACCCUGAUGCAGCGACGCCGCGUGGGGGAAGAAGGAUUUCGGGAUGUAAAGCCCUAUCAGCAGGGAAGAAGAAAGGACGGUACCUGAGUAAGAAGCAGCGGCUAAAGACGAGCCAGCAGCCGAGGUAAUACGUAUGGUGCAAGCGUUAUCCGGAUUUACUGGGUGUAAAGGGAGCGCAGGCGGCACGGCAAGCCUGAUGGGAAAGCCCGCGGCCCAACCGCGGGACGGCAUUUGGAACUACCGGGCUGGAGUGCCGGAGAGGUCGGCGGAAUUCCUAGUGUAGCGGUGAAAUGCGUAGAUAUUAGGAGGAACUCCAGUGGCGAAGGCGGCCUACUGGACGGUGACUGACGCUGAGGCUCGAAAGCGUGGGUAUCAAACAGGAUUAGAUACCCGGGUAGUC